rnacentral:rRNA from 1 species
CCCUUAGAUGUUCUGGGCCGCUCGCGUGCUACACUGAGUGGAUCAGCGGGUCAGGUUGCGCGAAAGCGUUUCCUAAUCUUUAAAUCCGCUCGUGAUGGGGAUUGACGGUUGCAAUUUUCUGUCAUGAACGAGGAAUACCUUGUAAGCGCGGGUCAUCAUCCCGCGCUGAAUACGUCCCUGCCCUUUGUACACACCGCCCGUCGCUCCUACCGAUUGAGUGGUCCGGUGAGGCUUUGGGAUCUGAGCGGAAAGAGCGUUUCGCUGUUUCUGCUCGGAAAACUCAGUCGAACCUUAUCAUUUAGAGGAAGGAGAAGUCGUAACA